rnacentral:tRNA from 1 species
GCCGGGAUGGCGGAAUUGGCAGACGCAGAGGACUUAAAAUCCUCCGCCCUUAAAAGCGUGUGGGUUCGAUCCCCUCUCCCGGCACCA